GGGGCUGAUUCUGGAUUCGACGGGAUUUGCGAAACCCAAGGUGCAUGCCGAGGGGCGGUUGGCCUCGUAAAAAGCCGCAAAAAAAUAGUCGCAAACGACGAAACCUACGCUUUAGCAGCUUAAUAACCUGCUUAGAGCCCUCUCUCCCUAGCCUCCGCUCUUAGGACGGGGAUCAAGAGAGGUCAAACCCAAAAGAGAUCGCGUGGAUGCCUUGCCUGGGGUUGAAGCGUUAAAACGAAUUAGGCUAGUCUGGUAGUGGCGUGUCCGUCCGCAGGUGCCAGGCGAAUGUAAAGACAGACUAAGCAUGUAGUACCGAGGAUGUAGGAAUUUCGGACGCGGGUUCAACUCCCGCCAGCUCCACCA
rnacentral:tmRNA from 1 species